GAUGAACGCUGGCGGCGUGCCUAAUACAUGCAAGUCGAGCGAACGGACGAGAAGCUUGCUUUUCUGAUGUUAGCGGCGGACGGGUGAGUAACACGUGGAUAACCUACCUAUAAGACUGGGAUAACUUCGGGAAACCGGAGCUAAUACCGGAUAAUAUUUUGAACCGCAUGGUUCAAAAGUGAAAGACGGUCUUGCUGUCACUUAUAGAUGGAUCCGCGCUGCAUUAGCUAGUUGGUAAGGUAACGGCUUACCAAGGCAACGAUGCAUAGCCGACCUGAGAGGGUGAUCGGCCACACUGGAACUGAGACACGGUCCAGACUCCUACGGGAGGCAGCAGUGGGGAAUCUUCCGCAAUGGGCGAAAGCCUGACGGAGCAACGCCGCGUGAGUGAUGAAGGUCUUCGGAUCGUAAAACUCUGUUAUUAGGGAAGAACAUAUGUGUAAGUAACUGUGCACAUCUUGACGGUACCUAAUCAGAAAGCCACGGCUAACUACGUG
rnacentral:rRNA from 1 species